GAUGAAGAACGUAGCAAAAUGCGAUAAGUAAUGUGAAUUGCAGAAUUCAGUGAAUCAUCGAAUCUUUGAACGCACAUUGCGCCCGCUGGUAUUCCGGCGGGCAUGCCUGUUCGAGCGUCAUUUCAACCCUCAGGCCCCCAGUGCCUGGUGUUGGGGAUCGGCCCAGCCUUCCUGUAAGGCCGCCGGCCCCGAAAUCUAGUGGCGGUCUCGCUGUAGUCCUCCUCUGCGUAGUAGCACAACCUCGCAGUUGGAACGCGGCGGUGGCCAUGCCGUUAAACACCCCACUUCUGAAAGUUGACCUCGGAUCAGGUAGGAAUACCCGCUGAACUUAAGCAUAUCAAUAAGCGGAGGA
rnacentral:misc_RNA from 1 species